UGGGGAAUAUUGCGCAAUGGGCGAAAGCCUGACGCAGCGACGCCGCGUGAGGGAUGAAGGUUUUCGGAUCGUAAACCUCUGUCAGAAGGGAAGAAACCGCACUGUGCUAAUCAGCAGUGCCUUGACGGUACCUUCAAAGGAAGCACCGGCUAACUCCGUGCCAGCAGCCGCGGUAAUACGGAGGGUGCAAGCGUUAAUCGGAAUUACUGGGCGUAAAGCGCACGUAGGCUGCUUUGUAAGUCAGGGGUGAAAUCCCACGGCUCAACCGUGGAACUGCCUUUGAUACUGGUUAGCUUGAAUCCGGGAGAGGGUGGCGGAAUUCCAGGUGUAGGAGUGAAAUCCGUAGAUAGCUGGAGGAACAUCAGUGGCGAAGGCGGCAACAUGGACCGGUAUUGACGCUGAGGUGCGAAAGAGUGGGGAGCAAACAGG
rnacentral:rRNA from 1 species